AAUUCAUAUCUCUCUCUCUCUCUCCAUUCUGCAAAAAACAAUGGCUACCACCUCCACUGAAAUAACCCAAGAUUUUCCAGGCUUUUUCAAGGUAUACAAAGAUGGUAGCAUUGAAAGAUACUGGAAUUCAGAUUUUUCUUCUCCAGGAUUAGACCCUGAAACUGGAAUCCAAUCCAAAGAUGUUGUAAUCUCAGACAAAACUGGCGUAAAAGCUCGCAUCUUCCUCCCAAAACUUCACGAUUCAUCCCGAAAGCUUCCCCUCCUCGUCCACUGUCAUGGCGGUGGAUUCUGUAUUGGAUCAGCUUUUAGCGCCCAUUUCAAAAGCUUUCUUUCUGCUCUAGCCUCACAAGCUAAUCUCAUAACCAUGUCCGUUGAGUACAGACUCGCUCCUGAGCACCCAUUACCUGCUGCAUAUGACGAUUCAUGGGCAGGGCUUCAAUGGGUCGCUAACCACUCCGAUGGACAAGGUCCUGAAGCCUGGAUAAACGACCAUGCAGAUCUCAGCCGGAUUAUCUUGGCCGGUGAAAGUGCCGGAGCCAACCUUGCACACUACGUCGCUGUCCAAGCUGGUUUGACGCCAUUGCCUGGUGUACACAUAACUAGGCUGCUUAUAGUGCACCCAUAUUUUGGGAAUGAACAGCUCGACAAAUUCUACAAAUAUUUGAGCCCAACAAGCUCCGGGUCGAGUGAUGAUCCGAAACUAAACCCGGAAGCGGAUCCGAACUUGGUGAAGUUGAAGGGUGAUAGAGUGCUGGUUUGUGUGGCAGAGAGAGAUUUCUUGAAGAGUAGAGGAGAUGCUUAUUAUGAAACAAUGAAGAAAUGUGGAUGGGGUGGUGAAGUGGAAUACUAUGAGAGUAAAGAUGAGGAACAUUGCUUCCAUUUCUUCAAUCCUAAGAGUGAGAAUAUUGCACCUCUUAUUAAGAGAAUGGUUGAUUUCAUUAAGCAUGAUUGAUUUUGUUGAGAUUUUUGGUAAGAAGAUGUGGAAAAGGAAAAAAAUUGUAUUGAAGUUAAGCUAGUCUUGUUAAUUUCCUGGCUUGUAUUUUCAAGAGUCGAAUUGGAGUUUAUUUGGAUUUCCUUUGUGGGUGAUUCUUAUUUUAUUUCAAUCCUGCAUAAAAAAAAAAGUUUAUUUUUAAAUCCUUUUCUUAAUUAAUUAAUUUAUUUUUCUAUA
rnacentral:misc_RNA from 1 species